rnacentral:lncRNA from 1 species
GAAUUUUGAACAGAGAGCAGAAAAGAGACCCUAAAAAGCAAUUAGUGAUGCCGCUUGUAGCUGAAGAGGGAGCCUGAAGGAGGUGGGAAGGCGCAAAAGGAAGAGGGCAACUCCAACCACUUCUUGAAACCCAAGAAGCAGGGUGGACAAUGAACUGUUCUCUGAAACAAAGGGGCAAGAACUACUCAUCCCUUUCACUCCCGUAAGAGGAUGCACCUUUCCUGGCACCAGAAGCAACAGAUUUUGGAUGCUGUGCAGCAGUACUCACCUGGCCAACACCUGAGACGUGCAGGACAGUGGCUGUGGGCCUGAACGCAGGAUCCAGCAGGCCUCAAGAACAACCUCGUGGAGACCCUCAGCAGGCAGCAUGGACAUAGCCUUGUAUUCAACACAACACCUUCAACAGCUUCCUACUGCACCCUGACCAUUGCAAAGCUGUGCC